rnacentral:misc_RNA from 1 species
GAUGAAGAAGCAGCGAAAUGCGAUAAGUAAUGUGAAUUGCAGAAUUCAGUGAAUCAUCGAAUCUUUGAACGCACCUUGCGCCCUUUGGCCAUUCCGAAGGGCAUGCCUGUUUGAGUAUCAUGAACACCUCAACUCUUCAUGGUUUUCCGUGAUGAGCUUGGACUUUGGGGGUCUUGCUGGCCUAUGGUCAGCUCCUCUAAAAUAAAUCAGCUUGCCAGUGUUUGGUGGGUAUCACAGGUGUGAUAACUAUCUACGCUUGUGGUUUUCCACCAGGUAACCUUCAGCAGUGGAGGUUCGCUGGAGCUCACAGAUGUGUCUCUCCUCAGUGAGGACAGCUCUUUGAAUGUUUGAUCUCAAAUCAGGUAGGACUACCCGCUGAACUUAAGCAUAUCAAUAAGCGGAGGA